rnacentral:rRNA from 1 species
AGUGAACGCUGGCGGUAGGCCUAACACAUGCAAGUCGAACGGCAGCACAGUAGGAGCUUGCUCUUACGGGUGGCGAGUGGCGGACGGGUGAGGAAUACAUCGGAAUCUACUUUUUCGUGGGGGAUAACGUAGGGAAACUUACGCUAAUACCGCAUACGACCUACGGGUGAAAGCAGGGGAUCUUCGGACCUUGCGCGAUUGAAUGAGCCGAUGUCGGAUUAGCUAGUUGGCGGGGUAAAGGCCCACCAAGGCGACGAUCCGUAGCUGGUCUGAGAGGAUGAUCAGCCACACUGGAACUGAGACACGGUCCAGACUCCUACGGGAGGCAGCAGUGGGGAAUAUUGGACAAUGGGCGCAAGCCUGAUCCAGCCAUACCGCGUGGGUGAAGAAGGCCUUCGGGUUGUUAAGCCCUUUUGUUGGGAAAGAAAAGCAGCAGGUUAAUACCCCGCUGUUCUGACGGUACCCAAAGAAUAAGCACCGGCUAACUUCGUG